rnacentral:rRNA from 1 species
GAUGAACGCUAGCUACAGGCUUAACACAUGCAAGUCGAGGGGAAACGAUAUUGGAAGCUUGCUUCCGAUAGGCGUCGACCGGCGCACGGGUGAGUAACGCGUAUCCAACCUGCCCAUCACUUGGGGAUAACCUUGCGAAAGUAAGACUAAUACCCAAUGAUAUCUCUAGAAGACAUCUGAAGGAGAUUAGAGAUUUAUCGGUGAUGGAUGGGGAUGCGUCUGAUUAGCUUGUUGGCGGGGUAACGGCCCACCAAGGCGACGAUCAGUAGGGGAUCUGAGAGGAAGGUCCCCCACAUUGGAACUGAGACACGGUCCAAACUCCUACGGGAGGCAGCAGUGAGGAAUAUUGGUCAAUGGGCGAGAGCCUGAACCAGCCAAGUAGCGUGCAGGAUGACGGCCCUAUGGGUUGUAAACUGCUUUUAUAAGGGAAUAAAGUGAGUCUCGUGAGACUUUUUGCAUGUACCUUAUGAAUAAGGACCGGCUAAUUCCGUGCCAGCCGCCGCCGUAA